AGUCCCAAGUCUAUUUCUGGGUCAGACCAGUAGAGCAGGAGGAUCGAGGUUGGUCUCCUCAAGGUGUGAGCUCUGAUUCCUUGAGAAGAUGGUGGAAGGAAAACAUGGCUCAUUCGCCCUCUCUCUGGGAAUGGGUCGUGUAACUCUGAAUUUUCAGGCAAAGGGGCCUGUUGCCUUUGUGCUAGCCAUGGGCACAAUACUAGUAUACGGAAUGGUAGUCGCAAUAGGACUCCUGUUAUGCUGAAAUAAGGCCAGCGAAUACAAGACUCAGAAAAUCCAUUGACAGGAAUCCUUUCCAAUCUCCUGGCCGGAAGGAGAAGGCUCCACCUUCUUGGGGAAUGUGUGAAGCAACACGCUAUACACAGUUUAAUUUUGAUUAUGAACAAAGUCAACUUUUGAGCAAAAUAAAAAUUAAUUAAAUACACA